AAAAGAAAAAAGAAACUUCAUGCUAAAUUUAGUUCACAUCCACAAGCUAAAUUUUCACAAGAUGGAAGACAAAAACUAAACCAGUAGACUGAGCUGUUUCAAGUUAAGGCUCCACAAAGAUUAAGGUGGCUACAAUUCAAGAAUUGAAAUUGGAUAUGGCCCCAAACAGAUUGGACUGGCAGAACAGGAUUUAUGAAUCUAAGCCAAAAAGCUCAUAUGGAUUUUUAUGUAGAUUUUUACUAAUUUCAAUUCAUUUGCUUACCCCAUACAGCUUUUAUUUGAGCUAUCAAAU
rnacentral:misc_RNA from 1 species